rnacentral:rRNA from 1 species
CCUACGGGAGGCAGCAGUGAGGAAUAUUGGUCAAUGGGCGCGAGCCUGAACCAGCCAAGUAGCGUGAAGGAUGACUGCCCUACGGGUUGUAAACUUCAUUUAUAAAGGAAUAAAGUGAGGCACCUGUGCAUGUUUGUAUGUACUUUAUGAAUAAGGAACGGCUAACUCCGUGCCAGCAGCCGGGGUAAUACGGAGGAUCCGAGUGUUAUCCGGAUUUAUUGGGUUUAAAGGGAGCGUAGACGGGUUGUUAAGUCAGUCGUGAAAGUUUGCGGCUCAACCGUAAAAUUGCAAUUGAUACUGGCAGCCUUGAGUACAGUUGAGGUAGGCGGAAUUCGUGGUGUAGCGGUGAAAUGCUUAGAUAUCACGAAGAACUCCGAUUGCGAAGGCAGCUUACUAAACUGCCACUGACAUUGAUGCUCGAAAGUGUGGGUAUCAAACAGGAUUAGAUACCCGUGUAGUC